rnacentral:siRNA from 1 species
GGUAGCAACUGAUUGUUUUGGU